AACGAACGCUGGCGGCAUGCCUAACACAUGCAAGUCGAACGAGACCUUCGGGUCUAGUGGCGCACGGGUGCGUAACGCGUGGGAACCUGCCCUUAGGUUCGGAAUAACUCCCCGAAAGGGGUGCUAAUACCGGAUAAUGUCUUCGGACCAAAGAUUUAUCGCCUUUGGAUGGGCCCGCGUGGGAUUAGCUAGUUGGUAGGGUAAAAGCCUACCAAGGCGACGAUCCAUAGCUGGUCUGAGAGGAUGAUCAGCCACACUGGGACUGAGACACGGCCCAGACUCCUACGGGAGGCAGCAGUGGGGAAUAUUGGACAAUGGGCGAAAGCCUGAUCCAGCAAUGCCGCGUGAGUGAUGAAGGCCUUAGGGUUGUAAAGCUCUUUUAACCGGGAUGAUAAUGACAGUACCGGGAGAAUAAGCCCCGGCUAACUCCGUG
rnacentral:rRNA from 1 species